UUCCCUUCAGAAUCAAAUUCAUUGUUUGAUUUUUUUUGAGAGGUUAUGGUUGAUGGGAAUGUUGUUUGGCUCGAGGGUCAUCUAGGUUUUCAAAAUUUUCUCGGACUUUCUUUCUUGCUUUUAUUUUUCCAGGAAAAUUAUGUUAUUUGCCUAUGUGAUCUCGGACCAGGCUUCAUUCCCGUCAACCGACGGUUUCUCUCUU
rnacentral:pre_miRNA from 1 species